rnacentral:misc_RNA from 1 species
GACAGAGGGUGCGAGGGUUAGUCGGAGGUACUGGGCGUAAAGCGCACGCAGGCGGUCUGUCAAGUCGGAUGUGAAAUCCCCGGGCUCAACCUGGGAACUGCAUCCGAAACUGGCAGGCUAGAGUCUUGUAGAGGUGGGUAGAAUUCCAGGUGUAGCGGUGAAAUGCGUAGAGAUCUGGAGGAAUACCGGUGGCGAAGGCGGCCCCCUGGACAAAGACUGACGCUCAGGUGCGAAAGCGUGGGGAGCAAACAGG